GGGCAGGCAUGUGUGGAGUUCUUCACCUGAAAUCACUGUACAGAGUGAAACAGAGUUUUUUAACCCUGAGUCAC
rnacentral:snoRNA from 1 species